GUGAGGAAUAUUGGUCAAUGGACGAGAGUCUGAACCAGCCAAGUCGCGUGAAGGAAGACGGUUCUAUGAAUUGUAAACUUCUUUUGUGCAGGAAUAAAGUGGGUUACGUGUAACCUUUUGUAUGUACUGUACGAAUAAGUAUCGGCUAACUCCGUGCCAGCAGCCGCGGUAAUACGGAGGAUCCGAGCGUUAUCCGGAUUUAUUGGGUUUAAAGGGUGCGUAGGUGGAUUGAUAAGUCAGCGGUGAAAGUUUGCAGCUUAACUGUAAAAUUGCCGUUGAAACUGUCGGUCUUGAGUGCAAAUGAGGUAGGCGGAAUGUGUUGUGUAGCGGUGAAAUGCUUAGAUAUAACACAGAACUCCGAUUGCGAAGGCAGCUUACUGGGAUGCAACUGACACUGAUGCACGAAAGCGUGGGUAUCAAACAGGAUUAGAAACCCCAGUAGUCC
rnacentral:rRNA from 1 species